GGGAAUGUAGCUCAGCAGUGCAGCGUCUGCCUGGCAAGCUCAAGUCCCUGAGUUCAAUUCUCAGUACCA
rfam:Heterocephalus glaber contig79712, whole genome shotgun sequence.